AGGAAUUAGUGCCUUUAAAGAUGCCCUGGAGUUACUUCACCCACUCUCACCGCAUGGGCACCAUGAGAAGACACUGUCUUGUCACAUCUUAAUAAUGUUGACCUUACCAAACAACAAUUGGAUGGAGGACUUCCAAGCCUUCAGAAAGAAAACAGACUUCCAUCUAAGCGACCUUUCAUCUAUGGUACAAGUACCCAGUGAGGAUAUAAUGUGAGCUGCAGCCAUGCUUAAAGCAUACACUGGCACAGAGUAAACAUUACCAUUUGGGAAUGUGGUAACGGAAGAAUAAGAAGAAAAGAGGAAGAUGCCGAAGACCAAAACCCAACAAGGGGGGAAAUAUUCCUGCAGCUCCACGUCCAGGAUUUGAGAUGUCUGAUGAAGUUAUCUGGACCAAUAUUGGCUCAAGUAGUCCUACUUUUUCAGUUCUGUUACCUGCAACAUCUAUUGCCUCUCUUGGUCAGCCCCACUCCAUGCCAAGAGUAUUCAGUUACUGUCUCAAGCUUUUGGCCUCUCCAACAUCCUGGAGUCUUUAUGUAAACUUCACAGCAUCUCACAGCAGUCUUCAAGGACCUUUGACCCUGCCAGACACUACUUUCUGGCACUAUAGAGCAAAUCUCCGUGACUCCUCUAAAUCAUAUGUCUCUCAUCAUGCUUAUGAAACCAGUAGCAAUGUGGACAGUCAUACCAAGUUCUGUGGCCAACUUCGAAUAGUAUAAAACCUUGUACCUUAGACCAUAUCACCAGUGAUCUCUGUAUGCUCUGUGGACUGAAUCUACAAGAUCAAUUUUUUAGGAAGUUAUUUUUCAUCAGGGAAUCCUUUCAGCUACAUUCUUGGUUUAGACUUUUUCCUUUCAAAUAAAUUUGCAUUUUCAUUAGUUGGAGCCUUGAGUGGGCAUGCUCUGG
rnacentral:lncRNA from 1 species